rnacentral:rRNA from 1 species
AUGGAUACUAGGGAUCGAACCCAAACAAAAUUAACUCGAUUACAUGGUAAAUCUCAUCCAACCCAUCACCGUCCAGCAAGCCUACGAUGGGAUUACUCAUGCAAGGCGGUGAGUGUCGGUGUUCUGGGAACAGGGGUCCCCAGACUUGCCUACCUGCGGCCUGUGGCGUGGCUCAAGGGGCGGCCCAGCGUGGCCCAUCUUCAUCAGCACGAGCUCAAGACCCUUGCGAGGGGCCAAACCUCACGGGGCGGACGACAGGAAGCUUAUUCAGGCACGGCCUCAUCAGGCUGGCUCGCGAGGAGGUGGAGAGAUCAAGGCGGGGAACCUCACGAGGUGCCCAUGACGCAAGCCAUGACGACCAAGGGCACCAGGAGGGCGCCAGCCCGCGCAGUGUCCUUCUUUCCCCUUUGGUGA